ACUGUCACAAAUAUUUAUAAAUGUGGAGUUAACAAAACAGGUAAUUUGGUGUUGUGUUAAGAACACUGGUCUGCCAUCCACAAAGCCUAAAAUGUUGUUUUGCUGUCAACACUUAGGAGCUAUGGGGCCCUCAGUAAUAUGCCUUCGCCUCCAUGCAACUUAAUUACCCAUCCGCAAAAUGGAAAUACUGCAGUUAUGUUAGUGGUCACAUAGCCUACUCUCUACCUUUUUGGAAAGGAUCGCUAUUUUGCCUGAAAACUUCAUUCACAGUGAGGAAGCAAAAGGGAACAACUACUAAUGCAAUGGAGCGUAAAAAGUAAACAACUCUUUCAUAAUGAGUUUAUUUUCCAUAAUUUAUAGCAUAGGUAACAGAAUCAUUUUGCAAAGACACGGACUAGAGAAGAAUAAAAGAGGCAAUUAUGAUCAUUAGAGGUGGCUUCGGAGGACCACGAGACAGCACUAUGGACAAACAAAAUGCACUACACAACAUACUCCUCCUGGGGGGCAGUCAAAACACAGAAAUGUAGAUCGCUCAGUCACUGAAACGGAUUGACUUGGCUGUUCUAACUUCCACACCGAAAGGAAGACAGGGUGGUGAUGGGGGGAGAGUGAUUACUCCUCAAACAGAGAGUGAUUUAACACCACCACUGGCUAUGUGACAGAUAAACUAAUUUGCCCAAAUCACUAAGCUUGGGUUUUUCCACCCACAUUAAUUUGGUUGCUUGCACAUGACAACAGCAUCAUUUAUUGGUGACAGGAUUCAAAGACCUGGGCAUUGCAGCUAGCAGGAGAACACAAACAACUCAAGGCAGGACGCUACAGCCAGUUCAGCAGCUUUUGCUCCUUCAGUGACCACAGUGCAGGGGAGCCCGUGGCUGCUUUGAGGGCUUGAUGUGGUAUUGAGUCAAACUAAAUUUAAACCUUUUACCUAAACUGCUGGUAUUCCUUCUAUCCCAAAUCUUUGGAAGCCAUUGAAAGUGAUGCAAAUGUGUCUCAUGGCCAAAACAGCAGCCUGGAGCCUGUGGCUGGCUGGUUUUAUUUUUAGGAUUAUGGGAGACCUCCAUCAAGGCUCUUUCUUUUACUCUGAACCUCAGUUUCCCAGAUGUAGGAAGGAGAGACCACAGCAGCUUGGGGAAUGGCAAAAACCUGGACUUUGUGGUCAGAUAGACUAAGGUUUGAGUCUCACCUUCAGGACCUCCUGGUUAUAUAACCUCCAGUAAGUUACUUUACUUCUCUGAGCCUUGCUUUUCCAAUCUAUUGUAUGGGAAUAAUAAUAAAUACCUGCUUAGUUAAUUACUUCAUUCAUUCAACAGACAUUUAUUGAGUGCCUCCUAUGCACCAGGCAAUAUCCUACCUGAAUCCACAAAGGUAAGUGAAAUAGACAUAGUUCCUGUCCUCAUGGAGCUUAUGGUCCACUGUGAGAAAUAAAUAACAGACACAAAGUACGUAGUACUAUGCCUGGCGUUUUUUUUUUGUUUUUUGUUUUUUUUUUUUUUUUUUGAGAUGGAGUCUCACUCUGUUGCCCAGGAUAGAGUACAGUGGCGCUAUCUUGGCUUACUGCAAACUCCGCCUCCCAGGUUCAAGCAAUUCCCCUCCCUCAGCCUCCCAAGUAGCUGGGAUUACAGGUGCCUGCCAUCAUGCUUGGCUAAUUUUUGUAUUUUUAAUAGAGAUGGGGUUUCACCAUGUUAGCCAGGCUGGUCUCGAACUCCUGACCUCAAGUGAUCGACCCACCUCGGCCUCCCAAAGUGCUGGGAUUACAGGCAUGAGCCCCCAUGCCUGGCCUAUGCCUGGCUUUUAAUAGACACUGAAUACAUGUUUUGAGUUAACCAGAAAUUUAAUUAUUGAAAUUCAAUAGCAUUUUGAUAUCUACUAAUUCCUUUUUCAGUUAUCCCACUCCUCCCUUAGAACCUGUGUACAUGAUGCUCUCUCUGUCUGGGUUUGUUUCUUCCCCAGCUAGUCACAUGGCUCCCUCUCUCACUUCAUAUCUGUACUCAAACAUCACCUCUUCACAGAGGCCAUUCCUAACCAUCUGUUCAAAUAGCCCUCCUACUUCUAUCACACUAUAUCCUCUUACCUUGCUUUAGACCCAUUCUUAAUGGAUUUAAAAAUCAUUGGUGGAGCAUGGUGGCUCGCGCCUGUAAUCCCAGCACUUUGGGAGGCCGAGGCGGGCAGAUCAUCUGAGGUCAGGAGUUCAAGACCAGCCUGGCCAACAUGGUAAAAUCCCAUCUCUAUUAAAAAUACAAAAAUUAGCUGGGUGUGGUGGCAGAUGCCUGUAAUCCCAGCUACUCAGGAGGCUGAGGCAGGAGAAUCGCUUGAACCUAGGAGGCAAAGGUUGCAGUGAGCCAAAAUCACGUCAUUGCACUCCAGCCUGGGCAACAAAAGCAAGACUCUGUCUCAAAAAAAAAAAAAUUAUAUUCACAAAAAAAUCCCUUAGAGUUAGGGCAAGUUUUUGUGCUAAAGUCUCUACAAUAAAAUAUUAUUAUUAUUAUUAUUAUUUGAGAUGGAAUCUCACUCUGUCACCUAGGCUGGAGUGCAGUGGCGCCAUCUUGGCUCACUGAAACCUCUGCCUCCCAGGUUCAAGUGAUUCUCCUGCCUCAGUCUCCCAAGUAGCUGGGAUUACAGGCGCACAUCACCACACCUGGCUAAUUUUUGUGUUUUUGGUAGAGAUGGGGUUUCAUCACGUUGACCAGGCUGGUCUCGAACUCCUGACCUCAGGUGAUCUGCCCACCUUGGCCUCCCAAAGUGCUGGGAUUACAGGUGUGAGCCACCGCACCCAGCCAAAAUCAUGUUUUUAAAAGAAAGAUUUGAAGAUACUUUACAAUAAAAGAUAUAAGAAUGCAGUAAGCACACAAAAAGAUGCCCAGCAUCACUAGUCAUCAGGGAAAUUUUCUUUUCUUCUUUCUUUCUUUCUUUUUUUUUUUUUUUUUGAGACAGUCUUGCUCUGUCACCCAGGUUGGAGUGCAGUGGCGCAAUUUUGGCUCACUGCAUCCUCUGCCUCCUAGGUUCAAGUGAUUCUCGUGUCUCAGCCUCCCAAGUAGCUGGGACUACAGGUGUGUGCCACCAUGCCUGGCUAAUUUUUGUGUUUUUAGUAGAGAUGGGGUUUCCCCAUAUUGGCCAGGCUGGUCUUGAACUCCUGACCUCAGGUGAUCUACGCACCUCAGCCUCCCAAAGUGCUGGGAUUACAGACGUGAGCCACCACACCUGGCCUGGAAAUUUUCAAAAGGCUAAUACUGCUAAGUGUUGGCCAGGAUGUAGAACAACUGGAACAUUCAUACACUGCUGAUGGGAGUACAAAAUGGUAGAGCGACUUUGGAAAGCACUUUGGCAGUUUCUUAUACAGUUAAAUUUUACACAGACCAUGCAACCUACCAAUCUCGAUCCUAGGUAUCUACCCAAGAAAAAUGGAAAACAUACAUACACAUACAUAUAAGGACUUGUACAUGAAUGUUAAUGGCAACAUUAUUAAUAAUAGCCAAAAACUGGUGACAACCAAAUGUCUAUCAACUGAUGAAUGGAUAAACAAAAUGUGAUCUAUUCAUACAGUGGAAUAGUACUCAGCAAUCAAAAGGAAAAACUACUGAUACAUGCUACAGCAUGAAUGAAUCUUGCAAACAUCAUUUUAAGUGAAAGAAACCAGACUCGGCUGCAAACUGUCUGAUUCCAUCUACAUGACAUUCUGAAAUCAGAUCAUCGUUUUCUGGAAUCAGGAGCGUGGGAAAGGACUGACUAUAAAUUAGCACAAGGAAACAUUUUAGGAUGAUGAAAAUAUCUUCAGUGUGGUAGGGACAUAACUAUAUACAACUGUUAAAACUCGUCAAGCAGUACACUUAAGACGGGUGAAUUUUUUCAUAUUCAAGUUCUGCCUCAAUAAAGCUGUUCCAAGAAUGUUAAAUAUAUUGAGAGAUAUAUGCACAGAAAAGGACGCUAUACUUGUCUCUUGCGGUAGGAUUUUGGGUGCUUUUCAUUUUCUUGUCUUUGCUUAUUGAAAUCUUGUAAAAUUUCCACAAUGAUUAUGUAGAGCUUUUGUAGAGAGAGAGAAAAACAACAAUAAAAUGCCAUGAUCAUAAAUAAUUGGGUUAUUCAACAAGGAAUGUAUUGUUCAUUCAACAUUGUUCAUUGUAAUGAAGCCCAUUUAGACCGCCUCCUUCUCAUCUAUCUUUCAUCAGUGACACUUCUGAGGGGUGAGCUGAGGAAACGGGUGCAAAAAGGUACAGAGCUUAAUAGCAAUCCUUUGUCCAUCCAGCUCUGGGCUUGGCUCUCGCCUUGCUUUUUGGAUGAAUACACAGUAGACUAAUGAUAGGGGGGCUCUCAUCUUCCUUUGCCAACUUCGCCCUCCAUUCCAAUGCAGAUCAGCUCAUGAGUCCUCCAGGAAUGGUCCACACCACUUGCCCGUGGGCGCCUAGGCUGCACAAGGCCCCGUCAGGGUCCAGGUGUCAGAACAUAGGAAUCCAGUGAGGAUAAUAAAUCUAUAAUUAUAAAAUAGCUUCAUAAAAACAUCUUGUAGAGGAAACAUACAAUUUUCUAGCCACUCUAGUCAGGAAGUAAAGCCCAGCAGAAGCCCAGAGCAGCUGGGGUGGGCACAGGGAAGUGAGACACAUCACAGCUGUCCUGGAAGCCUCUGUUUUGUCAGCCAUAAAGGGUAAGUUGGGAGAGACCCUGGUUCCCAACCUGGGGUCUCUGUCCUCAGGAUUCACACAGGCACUAUUGUCAGGAACUACUUCUAGCAUCUAAAAACUCCAUACAUUAUUCACAGUAGCCAAAAGAUAGAAACAACCUAAGUGUCCACUGAUGGAUGAAUGAACAAAAUGAGGACUAUCUAGACAAUGGGAUAUUAUUCAGCUUUUAAAAUGAAAGAAAUUCUGACACAUGCCACAACAUGGAUGAACCUUGAAGACAUUGUGCUAAGUGAAAGAAGCCAGUCAAAAAGGAUAGUAUUGUAUGAUUCCUCUUGUAUAGAAGUACCUAGAGUGGCCAAAUUCACAGACAGAAAGUAGAAUAGUAGUUACCAGGGGCUAGGAGGAGAGGGGAUGCGGUGAUAUUGUUUAUAGAUACAGAGUUGCAGUUUGGGAUAAUAAAAAAUUCUGAAAAUAGAUAGUGGUAAUGGUUACACAACAAUGUGAAUAUAUUUAAUUCCAGUCCUGUACACUUAAAAAUGGCCAAAAUGGUAAAUUCUAUAUUAUUUAUAUUUUACCACAUCCACAAAGAAACGAACUCCCCACAUACCCACAAUGUCUCACUGCUUCAUUAAAGCAUUGUCAUGCCUGUUAUCACUCAGAUCUGAAUGGGCAGGUAUAGCCUCUGAUUGAUUUUUUAGAAGAAACAAAAAUAACAGCAAAAUAUGUUAAUUGUAACCUUCAGCGAGAGCUGAAGGAGUUUUUUGGGCAGUUAUAACCUUUCAAAGCAUGACAUCUUUUGGGGGAAGACAAAGGGGCUGUGAUGGAAAGGUUGGCUUGAGUGAGUACUUUGGUAUCCCUACCCGCCCCCAGCCUCAAAUGCUGAUCUUGUACUUGGGGAGGCUAUGCUAAAGGAGAAACACACCCCAGAGGAGACACCAGGUGGUGUCUUCAGACAAUUCCCACCCAGCCAUAGGGAUAGGCAUUUUGGGUUUGAGACGGCCCUUUCUCUGGCUUACUUUUAGAGCCUGGAGUCAGACUUCUUCACAACAAAUAGCCCAGAACCAGCUGGGAACUCUCUGGCCCAUAUGACACAUGACACUGAUACAGUACCAGAAAUGCAUGGCACCAGCUAAUACCACUGAGGGGCAGGAGGGCAUACUCUCUCUCAGACCCUCAUCCAUCACCCCCAGAACCAGGACAAGGUCAUGAUGGCUCUUGGCAGCCUGCUCAGCACCAGGGCAAGAACAACUCAGGCUGGACAUUACGAGAGUAAACACAAUAGAUUUCUUUCCCAGACCAAGAGCUUGGGCACCAGGAGUGGGCAUUCUGGUUCACUGUUAGGCAAAAAAGCCUUUGGGGAAAUUACCAGCUCUCCCGUCAUCCCCACCUUCCUUGAAAGGCAGCAUGUGGGGUGGGAAGAACAAUCAGAAGACAAAUUUUAAUCUAAAUCCUGCCCCUCUGUGGCCCUGGAAACUUGGCCCCUUUGAGCUUCAGUCACUUUGUGAAAUGACAAUAACAUUCAAUCUCCUUCAACCUCAUUACUAUGGAUUAAAUGAGACGGUGUCUGGGGACAUGCUUGGAGAAUGUAUUGUACAACUGCUUAGGAAUUUUCUUCUGCCCCUAAACCUGGAACUUAGAGUGGAGCAAACAGUAAACAGUCACUGUGUGUCGGUUAAGGGAACAGAGCCUCAGAGCCCCGACCCCUGGAAACGUUUCUUUUUUGUUUACUAAAUUUCUAGCAACACCGUGUUUUCUACAGAGGUGGGGGGAAAUGUCCAUUUAAGUGCAAGAUGAAGGGGCCUGUGAAAGGACCCUCCAAGGCAAUCCCAUGUGCUCCCGUCUCCUGGAAAGAAGCCACAUUUCUUCAAGUUGAUGCAGGGGUGUUGGGGGAAAGCCAGAGUAAACAGGGCUCUCCUGGUACCUCCUUAGAGUACACAAGUCAUUUGUGCUGGGGAAGAGUUUAGUGUGUGUCCUUCAGGAGUCUCCAAAUGGCACUCCGGCUGCAGCUUCAGUUGACCAACUUCUCCCUCCCAGGAAGCAGGGAGGAGAGAGACCUUGGGCAAGGCUUUGUACCUGCAGCCCCAGUGAGCAGAUGUGUUUCCCAAUGUGGAAAAUGCAUACCGUGCUUCCCCUUCCUCGUUGUCUAUGAGUACGUAAAAGGACACCUCCUGUGGCCCUGCAGCAUUACAAUGUCUGUGGCAUUGUAAGUUCUUGCCUUGGUCUGGGAGUCCCUCCUCUGUUCUCUAAGCUCAGACCCAGAGGGCAAGACCUAGAGUGCCCUGCAACUGAGGCAGCCUCCCCAAGGGGAGUGGCUUCAGUAACGGAACAUGAGGGACUCCCUCACAUGGACACAAAGCAUCAAGGGACAGGCCGGCUUUGCUUUUCGCUUCUUCCUAGCUGCCUAAUUAGGACUUACUCAGUUCACAGUGUUCUACCUUACCGGGCCCUCUUGGAGCCAGCUGGAGAUGAUAAAAACCACACAGGUAUUGGAGUCAGAUAGCUUCACAUGCCAUUUCCACCUGAGAAACUUGGGUGAGUCACAUCUCUCCAGGCCUCAGUUUUUGCAUCUGUAGAAGGAAGAGAAGACAACCUAUCUCCAAAGCGUUGUGACAAUUCAGUGAGAUGAUGUUUGUCAAGCCCACCACACAGGGCAAGUUGGUUCCUUCCCGUCCCCCGCAUUUGCCUCUACUGAGGGUGAAG
rnacentral:lncRNA from 10 species